rnacentral:rRNA from 1 species
UACGAAGGGUGCAAGCGUUACUCGGAAUUACUGGGCGUAAAGCGUGCGUAGGCGGUUUGUUAAGUCUGUCGUGAAAGCCCCGGGCUCAACCUGGGAAUGGCGAUGGAAACUGGCGAGCUAGAGUACGGUAGAGGAGAGUGGAAUUCCCGGUGUAGCAGUGAAAUGCGUAGAGAUCUGGAGGAACACCCGUGGCGAAGGCGGCUCCCUGGUCCGGUUCUGACGCUGAGACGGCGAAAGCGCGGGGAGCGAACGGG